UACGGGGGGAGCAAGCGUUGUUCGGAUUUACUGGGCUUAAAGGGCGCGUAGGCGGGCGGUCAAGUCAGAGGUGAAAUCGUUCGGCUUAACCGGACAAGUGCCCCUGAUACUGGCCGCCUCGAGGGAGGUAGGGGCAUGUGGAACUUCCGGUGGAGCGGUGAAAUGCGUAGAUAUCGGAAGGAACGCCGGUGGCGAAAGCGACGUGCUGGACCUCUUCUGACGCUGAGGCGCGAAAGCCAGGGGAGCAAACGGG
rnacentral:rRNA from 1 species